UACGGGGGGAGCAAGCGUUGUUCGGAUUUACUGGGCGUAAAGGGCGCGUAGGCGGCCAGUGCAAGUCAGUUGUGAAAUCUCCGAGCUUAACUCGGAAAGGUCAACUGAUACUGCUCGGCUAGAGUGCGGAAGGGGCAACUGGAAUUCUUGGUGUAGCGGUGAAAUGCGUAGAUAUCAAGAGGAACACCUGCGGCGAAGGCGGGUUGCUGGGCCGACACUGACGCUGAAGUGCGAAAGCGUGGGGAGCAAACAGG
rnacentral:rRNA from 1 species